ACGGGGGGACGGGGUGCAGCAGGCGCGAAACCUCCGCAAUGUGAGAAAUCGCGACGGGGGGAUCCCAAGUGCCAUUCUUAACGGGAUGGCUUUUCAUUAGUGUAAAGAGCUUUUGGAAUAAGGGCUGGGCAAGACCGGUGCCAGCCGCCGCGGUAAU
rnacentral:rRNA from 1 species